AGUGUGAUUAGAAAAUGUAAAUGUCAUUGCCAUUAUUAUAAAUGAUAGUGAGUUGAAAUUGACAUGUUAUGACAGUAAAAGUAAUUUCAUUGAAAAAAAAAAAAAAAAAAAAAAAUGAAAGAACUUUAGUUGUAAUUAUUUUUAUAUAAGAAGCGCAAAACUACAAAAACACACUUGUAUCUCAAAGUGGUCAGCUUAACAAGUCGAGCUGGUACACAUGUCGAUGAUCAGAAAAUAAUUUACAGCGGAUGGACCACCUGUAAAGAGGCAUAAUUCACAGCACGCAAUCGACUUAAAUAGAGCGACAUUAAUCUUGUCACUAUUGACCUGUAACGCCUCUUAGCCGAUGAUUUAUGCCGGCUGACUAUUUUAGAACACCCUGGAAUGACCGUCGUUUACUAUUUUACUAACCAACACAAUAAAGAUGCUAAUUUCUUUAUUAUAUUACAGGGGAUUAAUUUAUAACGGUCACUGCAGGCUGAUGGUGAUGAUAUAAAGAUUUUUAUUACCACUAUUAAAAUAGUAACACGAGUUUGAUGGUUUGAUGUGAAGAAAUAAAUGCUCCAAGUUACAAUCAUCUCUAGAAGCUAAGCUAAGCCUUCAGAUGUUCAUCAAGCGCAAGCAAAGGUGAAUUUUCUCGUGCAUAAACUCAAUUCAAAUCAUCAAGAGCCCUCAUCGUAAAACGCUGAUUUUGAUGACGAUAAAAACAGCUAGAUGUGCAUGUUAUAUCGCAGGAAGUCAUAGUAAUUCUAGGAAGAAAAAAUAAAAUAUAUAAAAAUAAAUAAAUAGAAAUAAAUUGAGGGACAUUGAACUUAAGCUAAGUUGCUAUACAUAUUUUAUUUAUAUUUACACUCAUAUUAUAUAUUAUACGUUUCCUUGUAAUGUUCAAUAGUAUAAACAUAACAUAAAACCGUUUUUCGAUAUUACAGCUAUUGCAGUCGAAGAUAAUGAUGCAUACUGAUAUCUAAUUAAAGCAACGGACAAAACUGACAGAUGAUAUUAACACACCGUCUAUUAUAUCUUUCUCAAAGAUGCCAUUCCAUAUCCAUGGACCCAGGAUCACGUGCUCCUCCAGAUCUACUGGGUUAAGGUGUGAAUGCAUAAUUAAUCAUAAUCAUAGAUUAGUAGGGUGUCAUGGACCGGCGAGUAAACAUUUAAAAACAAUGCAAGGUGCUAUAUCGGUCGGGUCAUGACUCACUUUUCUUACGCUCAUUUCAUUAUACCUUUUGUUAUAAAUUGUGAAUUGUCUUGCUAUGCGUGCGACUUACUGACUCGUAUUUUGUUAUGCAGAGCAGCAGGUAUGUAUAGUGUAUAAAUAUGUAUCAAUAAAAACAAGAAACUAUUUUAAUGCAUUAGAUUAU